UGGGGAAUAUUGCACAAUGGGCGCAAGCCUGAUGCAGCCAUGCCGCGUGUAUGAAGAAGGCCUUCGGGUUGUAAAGUACUUUCAGCGGGGAGGAAGGCGAUAAGGUUAAUAACCUUGUCGAUUGACGUUACCCGCAGAAGAAGCACCGGCUAACUCCGUGCCAGCAGCCGCGGUAAUAGGGAGGGGGCAAGCGUUAAUCGGAAUUACUGGGCGUAAAGCGCACGCAGGCGGUCUGUCAAGUCGGAUGUGAAAUCCCCGGGCUCAACCUGGGAACUGCAUUCGAAACUGGCAGGCUAGAGUCUUGUAGAGGGGGGUAGAAUUCCAGGUGUAGCGGUGAAAUGCGUAGAGAUCUGGAGGAAUACCGGUGGCGAAGGCGGCCCCCUGGACAAAGACUGACGCUCAGGUGCGAAAGCGUGGGGAGCAAACA
rnacentral:rRNA from 1 species